rnacentral:rRNA from 1 species
AGAGUUUGAUCCUGGCUCAGAUUGAACGCUGGCGGCAGGCUUAACACAUGCAAGUCGAGCGGGGAAAGGUAGCUUGCUACCUGACCUAGCGGCGGACGGGUGAGUAAUGCUUAGGAAUCUGCCUAUUAGUGGGGGACAACAUUCCGAAAGGAAUGCUAAUACCGCAUACGCCCUACGGGGGAAAGCAGGGGAUCUUCGGACCUUGCGCUAAUAGAUGAGCCUAAGUCAGAUUAGCUAGUUGGUGGGGUAAAGGCCUACCAAGGCGACGAUCUGUAGCGGGUCUGAGAGGAUGAUCCGCCACACUGGGACUGAGACACGGCCCAGACUCCUACGGGAGGCAGCAGUGGGGAAUAUUGGACAAUGGGCGAAAGCCUGAUCCAGCCAUGCCGCGUGUGUGAAGAAGGCCUUUUGGUUGUAAAGCACUUUAAGCGAGGAGGAGGCUACUUAGAUUAAUACUCUAGGAUAGUGGACGUUACUCGCAGAAUAAGCACCGGCUAACUCUGUGCCAGCAGCCGCGGUAAUACAGAGGGUGCGAGCGUUAAUCGGAUUUACUGGGCGUAAAGCGUGCGUAGGCGGCUUUUUAAGUCGGAUGUGAAAUCCCUGAGCUUAACUUAGGAAUUGCAUUCGAUACUGGGAAGCUAGAGUAUGGGAGAGGAUGGUAGAAUUCCAGGUGUAGCGGUGAAAUGCGUAGAGAUCUGGAGGAAUACCGAUGGCGAAGGCAGCCAUCUGGCCUAAUACUGACGCUGA